UACGUAGGGGGCUAGCGUUGUCCGGAUUUAUUGGGCGUAAAGCGCGUGUAGGCGGCCAGAUAGGUCCGUUGUGAAACCUGGAGGCUUAACCUCGAGCCGUCGAUGGAAACCAUCUGGCUAGAGUCCGGAAGAGGAGAGUGGAAUUCCUGGUGUAGCGGUGAAAUGCGCAGAUAUCAGGAAGAACACCCGUGGCGAAGGCGGCUCUCUGGGACGGUACUGACGCUGAGACGCGAAAGCGUGGGGAGCGAACAGG
rnacentral:rRNA from 1 species